AACCGUUCGGGGGUAAACGGACAGAGCCCGUGAAUCCGGGCGGCAGAAUUCAGAAUUGGCGGGAACGGGUUCGCGCUCGUUUCGGCCAAUUUGAUAUUUCUGUCGCCGCGCGUAUGCGCGCGGACGUCGCGACCUGUUCGAUGUCGGUCCGCUAUAUAAGGAACCGCGUUCGAGUUUGCCGCCUCGGGAGGGGAGUUUUCUUCACUUCCGUACGCGGCAAAGACGCGGAUUUCUGGCCGACUCGUCGGACAGUAGGUCAACACGGGUGGCCGGCUGGUGUUGCGCGGCUUCGGUCGCGCGCGCCACCGGUGCCGGUCAGCGACGAAUCUUCGGGCCUCUUUCCGACCCGUCUUGAAACACGGACCAAGGAGUCUAACGUGCGCGCGAGUCGCGGGGUGUCGAACGCGUUUUUUGGCGUUGCGUCGCGAUACGCAACGUUGGGGCGCGUUCGUUACUGAACGAAACCCGUACACGUGAAAGGCGUAAUGAAAGUGAACUGGGGAAGAUGGCGUUACCGAGUACACGUUCCACGGUCGCUGGUACUGUGGCCGGUCGCCCGCAUUCCCGGGGCGUCCCAAUGGCUCGUCCAAUUUAUUGAACGGGCCGGGGCGCACCUAUAGCGUGCACGUUGGUACCCGAAAGAUGGUGAACUAUGCCCGGCCAGGAUGAAGUCAGGGGAAACCCUGAUGGAGGUCCGCAGCGAUUCUGACGUGCA
rnacentral:rRNA from 1 species